AGAGUUUGAUCCUGGCUCAGGAUGAACGCUGGCGGCGUGCUUAACACAUGCAAGUCGAACGAUGAUGGGAGCUUGCUCCUGGAUUAGUGGCGAACGGGUGAGUAACACGUGAGUAACCUGCCCUUAACUCUGGGAUAAGCCUGGGAAACUGGGUCUAAUACCGGAUAUGACUCCUCAUCGCAUGGUGGGGGGUGGAAAGCUUUAUUGUGGUUUUGGAUGGACUCGCGGCCUAUCAGCUUGUUGGUGAGGUAAUGGCUUACCAAGGCGACGACGGGUAGCCGGCCUGAGAGGGUGACCGGCCACACUGGGACUGAGACACGGCCCAGACUCCUACGGGAGGCAGCAGUGGGGAAUAUUGCACAAUGGGCGCAAGCCUGAUGCAGCGACGCCGCGUGAGGGAUGACGGCCUUCGGGUUGUAAACCUCUUUCAGUAGGGAAGAAGCGAAAGUGACGGUACCUGCAGAAGAAGCGCCGGCUAACUACGUGCCAGCAGCCGCGGUAAUACGUAGGGCGCAAGCGUUAUCCGGAAUUAUUGGGUUUAAAGGGUGCGUAGGCGGGUUAUUAAGUCAGUGGUGAAAGUUUGACGCUCAACGUUAAAAUUGCCAUUGAUACUGAUAGUCUUGAGUACAGUUGAGGUAGGCGGAAUGUGGUGUGUAGCGGUGAAAUGCAUAGAUAUACCACAGAACACCGAUUGCGAAGGCAGCUUACUAAAGUGUCACUGACGCUGAUGCACGAAAGUGUGGGGAUCAAACAGGAUUAGAUACCCUGGUAGUCC
rnacentral:rRNA from 1 species